GAUGAACGCUGGCGGCGUGCCUAAUACAUGCGAGUCGAGCGAACGGACGAGAAGCUUGCUUCUCUGAUGUUAGCGGCGGACGGGUGAGUAACACGUGGAUAACCUACCUAUAAGACUGGGAUAACUUCGGGAAACCGGAGCUAAUACCGGAUGAUAUUUUGAACCGCAUGGUUCAAAAGUGAAAGACGGUCUUGCUGUCACUUAUAGAUGGAUCCGCGCUGCAUUAGCUAGUUGGUAAGGUAACGGCUUACCAAGGCAACGAUGCAUAGCCGACCUGAGAGGGUGUUCGGCCACACUGGAACUGAGACACGGUCCAGACUCCUACGGGAGGCAGCAGUAGGGAAUCUUCCGCAAUGGGCGAAAGCCUGACGGAGCAACGCCGCGUGAGUGAUGAAGGUCUUCGGAUCGUAAAACUCUGUUAUUAGGGAAGAACAUAUGUGUAAGUAACUGUGCACAUCUUGACGGUACCUAAUCAGAAAGCCACGGCUAACUACGUG
rnacentral:rRNA from 1 species